rnacentral:rRNA from 1 species
GACGAACGCUGGCGGCGUACUUAACACAUGCAAGUCGAACGGAAAGGCCCUGCUUUUGUGGGGUGCUCGAGUGGCGAAAGGGUGAGUAACACGUGAGUAACCUGCCCUUGACUUUGGGAUAACUUCAGGAAACUGGGGCUAAUACCGGAUAGGAGCUCCUGCUGCAUGGUGGGGGUUGGAAAGUUUCGGCGGUUGGGGAUGGACUCGCGGCUUAUCAGCUUGUUGGUGGGGUAGUGGCUUACCAAGGCUUUGACGGGUAGCCGGCCUGAGAGGGUGACCGGCCACAUUGGGACUGAGAUACGGCCCAGACUCCUACGGGAGGCAGCAGUGGGGAAUAUUGCACAAUGGGCGGAAGCCUGAUGCAGCAACGCCGCGUGCGGGAUGACGGCCUUCGGGUUGUAAACCGCUUUCGCCUGUGACGAAGCGUGAGUGACGGUAAUGGGUAAAGAAGCACCGGCUAACUACGUG